rnacentral:rRNA from 1 species
UACGACUACAUAUCAGGCAUAUCAAUAAGCGGAGGAAAAGAAACUAACAAGGAUUCCCUUAGUAACGGCGAGUGAAGCGGGAAGAGCUCAAAUUUGAAAUCUUCAAGGUUUUACCUUGACGAAUUGUAGUUUAAAGAAGUGUUUUCUGUUGAAGUUUUGGUAAAAGUUCUUUGGAAUAGGACAUCAUAGAGGGUGAGAAUCCCGUAUUUGACCAUUAUUUUCCAGCUGUGUGAUACACUUUCAAAGAGUCGGAUUGUUUGGGAAUGCAGUCCAAAAUGGGUGGUAAAUUUCAUCUAAAGCUAAAUAUUGGCGAGAGACCGAUAGCGAACAAGUACCGUGAGGGAAAGAUGAAAAGAGCUUUGAAAAGAGAGUUAAACAGUACGUGAAAUUGUCAAAAGGGAAGCGUUUGACACCAGUGUUGUUUUCUCGAAAAUCAAUUAAAAAGAGUUGGAUUUUGUGUUGUAUGACCUUAUCAGCUUUCUGCACUCUUUUCUAGUCUUUUUUAAUGCACUUUUCGUUUAACAAGUCAACAUCAAGUUUCUUUUGCUGUAAAAGGGUCAUUGGAAGGUGGCUUUCUCUUCGGAGAAAGUGUUUAUAGCCUUUGAUCUCUGCAAUCGGAGAGACUGAGGUCUGCAGCGUAGAUCCUUCGGGGUUAGAUACAUUUGUGCUAAGCUACUAGCUUUUCAUAGACAACUUGUUGACUAUGAUUAGUCAUUGUAGACUUACUCGCUUAUGCUAUUUUACCUACGCUUAGGAUGUUGAGCGCAUGUCUCUCUCU